rnacentral:rRNA from 1 species
GAUGAACGCUGGCGGCGUGCCUAAUACAUGCAAGUCGAGCGAACAGACGAGGAUCUCGCCCCUUCGACGCUAGCGGCGGACGGGUGAGUAAUACGUAGGUAACCUACCUAUAGGACUGGGAUAACUUCGGGAAACCGGAGCUAACAUCGGACAAGAUUUCGAACCGCAGGGUUCGUUAGUGAAAGCUGGCUUUGCUAUCCCUAAUAGAUGGACCCGGGUCGGAUUAGCUAGUGGGUAGGGUAACGGCCUACCAAGGCGACGAUGCGUAGCUGGCCUGAGAGGAGGAUCAGUCACACUGGAACUGAGACACGGUCCCGACUCCUACGGGAGGCCGCAGUGGGGAAUAUUGGACAAUGGGCGAAAGCCUGAUCCAGCCAUGCCGCGUGUGUGAAGAAGGUCUUCGGAUUGUAAAGCACUUUAAGUUGGGAGGAAGGGCAGUAAGGUAAUACCUUGCUGUUUUGACGUUACCAACAGAAUAAGCACCGGCUAACUUCGUG